UAUUAAAUACUAAACUAGGGUGAUUAAACACUGUCACGUGACGUGCAAUAUAUUGCACAAUAUAUAUAACAUAUUCAUAUCAGGUUCAAAGUAGUACGAGUGUAGUUUCAAAAUGGUAUUUGUUGUAGAAGCACGGUAAAAAAAACAACACUUACCAUGCUUUUUACCACAGUAUUGGUAGUUUUAAUGUGAUUUUUGUUGUAAAUACAGAGUAACCACAACACUUAUCAUGCUUUUAAUGCCUAAUAAUGUUAAAUCCAAAAACUGUAAGGUCAAUAAGAACUUCUUUCCUAUAUAUAUUUAUAUAUAAACCUAUAUAUUAUAAAUAAUGAUAUUUUCUUUUCUCUUGUUUUAGCUGAAAAGACAAAAAGGGCCUUUCGGAAAUGGAUGAAGGAGACAGAAAGCUGCAAAGGCAAAUAAUUGCAAUGAAGGAAAUCCUACAGUUAUGUAUGAACUCACAACAUCAUCAUCAAGUGCUGUGCUGGGCACAUUGGGUAACAAGUGUCCUCCAACGUAUCCAAUCUGUGACCACAUUCUCCACAUCUUCCCAUGGGACACCGACAUUCUUCAGGCCUUCGUUUCCAUGUCUUCCCUGCAUUCUCCUGGUGGUGUCCACUUCAUAUCUGUCUUUGGGUGUUGUUGUUUGGUCAUGCUUAGGAUGUGUCCAGGGAGGUGCACCCUUCACUCUGUCACAGUUUUUAAAAGUCUUCACGUGGACUCCUCCUUAUGAUCUCCUUGAAACGUGCAGAACCAAUAUUGAAAAUAGUAAUUUAUCUUUUUCCAUAUUCUUGCCUUUAUCAAAGAAGCACCAGUGCUCAUCCGGAGUUUUGGUAAAAGACAUAUUCAUUGCCAUCCACUAGUUCUAGUAAUGCUGCGACUAUAGUCAAAUAUGUAUUUCUGCAUGUGUGUAUAGCAGGUGUUUGUCCGAACGAUUGAAGUUAGUGAGAGGAAAACCCUCUGAGAACAAUCAAUAUUUAUUUAAUUCUGUUUGGUGCUGAUAUAGAGUAUUACAGAAAUGACACAUUGACAUUCUGGACAUUAUUCUGUGAGUUUGUUACCUCUACAUUUAGAUGGACUUGAAAAUGUCUUGCACCUUUUAUUACAGUGUCACUAUAGUAAAUGUCCACCUUAACUACAUCUAUGGUAUCAUUAUAUCAGUACCUGGAUAAUGUAAAUGUAACAUACCCAUGAAUGUAUUUUAUAGAAGCAUUUUAUUGCUGAAAAUAUUUAACAUUUAUAAAAUGCAUUAACUAUU